rnacentral:rRNA from 1 species
UCAUGGCUCAGGAUGAACGCUAGCGGCAGGCUAACACAUGCAAGUCGAGGGGCAUCGGGAGUAGCAAUACUUGCCGGCGACCGGCGCAAGGGUGCGUAACGCGUGAGCAACAUGCCCGUAUCAGGGGGAUAAUCCAUGGAAACGUGGUCUAAUACCCCAUAGUAAUUAUGUAAGGCAUCUUAUAUAAUUUAAAGCUUUGGUGGAUACGGAUUGGCUCGCGUGACAUUAGCUAGAUGGUAAGGUAACGGCUUACCAUGGCUACGAUGGUCUAGGGGUUCUGAGAGGAAGGUCCCCCACACUGGAACUGAGACACGGUCCAGACUCCUACGGGAGGCAGCAGUGAGGAAUAUUGGACAAUGGAUGGAAAUCUGAUCCAGCCAUGCCGCGUGCCAGGAAGACGGCCCUAUGGGUUGUAAACUGUCUUUUGUAUGGGAGCAAUAAGGGCUACGUGUAGUCCGAUGAGAGUACCAUACGAAUAAGCACCGGCUAACUCCGUGCCAGCAGCGGC